CCCAGUGGUCCAGUGCUCCUGACUCCCAAACUUGUUAUCAGUAAAUCAGGUCCCUCUACUCACCACUAACAAAAUCAAUUACAUAGUCCUAAAUGGUAAAGGAGAAAGGUGCCUUCAGUCAGAAUGUCAGCAAUAUGGGGAGAUGGCGAAUUCAGUAUUCUCCCAAAACCACCUCUGAAGAUUCUGCUUGGCCAUGAAACUUCAUCAAGAGAAACAGACUACCGGACCCUUGUGGCAAAUUUCUAUGUAAAACUGACUUCUCCCCCCAACUCACCCCACCUCCUCAGAACGGUUCUUUCAGGGCUACUUGAGGUGCUAUCUUCUGGGCCCGAACUCCUAAAAAUUCCCACCAAAUAAAACUCCAAGGGAUUCUCAAGAGACUUCACCAGCACCACAAAAUUCAAAACCAUCGAUUCUUUGGCACUCAGCCAUCUUUAAGAAGAGGUGGCAGGGAAUACUCAGAAGAACUAUACCAUAAAAAAGUCUUAAUGACCAGGAUAACCAUGAUGGUGUGAUCACUCACCUAGAGCCAGACAACCUGGAGUGUGAAGUCAAGUAGGCCUUCGGAAGCAUUACUACAAACAAAGCUAGUAGGUGUGAUGGAAUUCCAGCUGAGCUAUUUCAAAUACUAAAAAAUUAUGCUGUUAGGGGAAGCACACUGAUUGAAAUCGCCCACCCUGGCCAGGCACCAUAGUAACCAUUUGCAUGAGUUGUUUUAUGACAGGAGGUCCUGGUAAGGAACACGGAACUAAUAACCCACCACCAACUGGAAGAGUUCGGGAAAGGUCAAAAGGAGACACCACAUGUCUGACCACCUCCCAGAAUCCUUCUCUCUGGCAUCCAUCUUGGCUGAACAAGGCGUGCACCACCAGGAAGGACUCUGAAUCAGAAUGAUUGGCCAAAGACAACCUGGAAACUAAUCCCAGCACCAAAAAGCCGAGACUGCAAGCCACAUGGCAGAGCUGUUCUCCUGGGUUCCCUUACCCUACUGCUCUCCACCCAGGUGCCCUUUCCCAAUAAAAUCUCUUGCUUUG
ensembl:lncRNA